UACGUAGGGGGCAAGCGUUGUCCGGAUUUAUUGGGCGUAAAGAGCGUGUAGGCGGCCAGGUAGGUCAGCUGUGAAAACUCGAGGCUCAACCUCGAGACGCCGGUUGAAACCAUCUGGCUAGAGUCCGGAAGAGGAGAGUGGAAUUCCUGGUGUAGCGGUGAAAUGCGCAGAUAUCAGGAAGAACACCCGUGGCGAAGGCGGCUCUCUAGUACGGUACUGACGCUGAGACGCGAAAGCGUGGGGAGCGAACAGG
rnacentral:rRNA from 1 species